ensembl:lncRNA
AUGUGUUUAUUUAGAGGAAGUGUGCAGAAAGAAGUGGAAGGGUCUGAGGGACACAUAUUUAAAAGAGAGGAGAAAGGAGAUGGAGUGGGUCAGCAGCAGGGUCAGGGAAAAAGUGGAAGUACUCUGCGUUCCUGUCUUUCCCAUGGGAGACAAGCAGGAAUAUGGAGAGGGGGGAUGAGGAGAAUCAGGCCGCAGGGUACGAGCACCCCGAGGACCAGGGCGAGGCAGAAGCAGCAGCCGAAGGGCACUCAGAGACAGGAGAGCCGACUGGUUCUUUUGAUGGCAGUGAGCCUGGGUCCCCUCUGCCAGAACCUGCUGCUGCUUCUGCUUCCACUGCCGGCCCUUCAACAUCUGCUGCUGUCCCCACAGGUGUGUACAGGCAAUAAUGACCAUGUUUACAUGCAUAUUAUAUUUACAGUAAGCACUCGUAGCCUCACACAACACUGACGGUUUGUGAAUGAGUUUAAUCCUUUUCUGCCUUCUCAUUGUACAAAACGUGUUAUCAUUUGAUACAGCACCACCAAGAAGAAGAGCUCAGAGAAGGCCUUAUUUGCCUGAAUUGAACCGUUUUAUUGCUCAUCAAGAUCGAAGUCCCUGAAUCGUGUGAUCUAAGCUACAAGCUUUGUUUUCUAGUAAUUACUAUUCAGUAAUCUAAAUACUACAGACACAGAAAAUAUUGUUCUUCCUGAUCAGAAGAUUAAUAAGCCUCCAAAAGGAAUCCCUGUUGCUGCAUCAUGACACUAUACCACAACACUGGUCCAAUCACAAAUAACUGUUUUUACUAUACUAUUGUGAGUGUAUUUGCAAUAGGAUAUAAUUAGAAUGAAUGUACAAAUGUUUGCCAUAAGUAUUCUAGUCUUAACAUAUAAAUAAUAUUUUUAUUUAACAAAUACAAAUUAUGAUUUACUAUGUUGUGCACAGAAUAACACACCAAAACCUCUGGUCAUUGUAUAGAACAUAUAUUUAUACAAAAAAAAUAAAAAAUAAAACACACACA